rnacentral:rRNA from 1 species
GCCGCACGCGCGCUACACUGAUGAAGUCAUCAAGUUAUUUUUCCUUCACCGGAAGGUGUGGGUAAUCUUUUGAAACUUCAUCGUGAUGGGGAUAGAGCAUUGCAAUUAUUGCUCUUCAACGAGGAAUCCCUAGUAAGCGUGAGUCAUCAGCUCACGUUGAUUACGUCCCUGCCCUUUGUACACACCGCCCGUCGCUACUACCGAUUGAAUGGCUUAGUGAGACCUUUGGAUUGAGUUUUGGUCGCGGCAACGUGACCAAUUUUCGAGAAGUCGGUCAAACUUGGUCAUUUAGAGGAAGUAAAAGUCGUAACAAGGUUUCCGUAGGUGAACCUGCGGAAGGAUCAUUA